rnacentral:snRNA from 1 species
GGGCGCGAGCCCGGGCGGA